ensembl:lncRNA
CAGCAGUCCCGUUGCACGAUGUUCCGACGGUCCGAGGCCGAAGGGCAGGAGCAGCGAGGCCGGUCUUGGGCAACGAGAGGGUGCAGGUCAGGGAGGAAGCAGCAGGUCUCAGGUAGCAGGCCCAGGGAAGUCCGUCAGCAAACGGUCCGUAGAGAAGGAUCUGAAGGCAGGAAGCUUGUGUCGUGGUGAGAGAUCAUGAGAGAUCAGCCUCUGUGUUGCGGUGAGAGAUCAGCCUCCAUGUUGCGGUGAGAGAUCAGUCUCCACGUUGCGGUGAGAGAUCAGUCUCCACGUUGCGGUGAGAGAUCAGUCUCCACGUAGAGAUCAGUCUCCACGUUGCGGUGAGAGAUCAGAUGGCAGAGAACCCCUCAAGUCUGUCGUGGUGAGAGAGAAGCCUCUACCUCGCCGUGGUUGUUGGACCCUCUUUCAUCCUCCAUUUUCUCCUGCCUAUGUGACAUUCCUGGGUGCUUGAGCAAGAGUCCUCGGCAUACCUCCUGAGAUGGCUCGAUCUUCCUCGAGAUAAGUCCACACAAAAAGACCGUUUCCCAGCCAUUAGCAGCAGCUUAUCUCUCUCUCAAUGCCCCUGGCCUUGUCCAUCUGUGCUCCUUAGAGGAUUUCACAAUCCUUAGCCAGGACCUGUCCAUCAGUGUCCUCAAGACAAAAGAUUUCUCUACAUUUGCCCAGGACUUGCCUGGACUUGUUCCUCAGCAAACUUUGAGUCAAAUGAUAUAAAAGAAUAAUCUCUUACAAACAUCUUUAUUAAUGACAUUGAUGACAGAAUUGAGUGUACCCUCAGCAAGUUUGCUGAUGACACCAAGCUAAGUGGUGCAGUCAACACAGUGGAAGAAAGGGAUGCCAUUCAGAGGGACCUUGACAGACUUGAAAGGUGGGCCCGGGUGAAUAUAAUGAGGUUCAACACAGCAAAGUGCAAGGUUUUGCGCUUGGGCUGGAGGAAUCCCAGUCAUCUAUACAAACUGGAAGGAUCAGUCCUUGAGAGUAGCCCUGCAGAGAAGGACCUGGGGAUCCUGAUGGAUGAAAACUUAAUAUGAGCCAGCAGUGUGUUCUUGCAGCUUGGAAAGCAAAUGGUAUCCUGGGCUCCAUCAUGAGAGGGGUGGACAGCAGGGAUGGGGAGGUGAUUAUCCCUCUUCACUCUGCUUUUGUGAGGCCUCAUCUGGAGUACUGUGUCCAGGUCUGGAGACCCCAGUACAAGAAAGACAGAGAUUGGAGAGGGUCCACAGGAGGGCCACUAAGACGAUUAGAGGCCUGGAGCACCUCCCCUAUGACGACAGGCUGAGGGAGCUGGGCUUGUUCAGCCUGGAGAAAAUAAGGCUGUGGGGUGACAUAAUUGCAGCCUUUCAGUACCUAAAGGGAGCCUAUAAACAGUAGGGGAGUCAACUCUUUGAAAGGGUAGAAAACAGCAGGACAAGGGGAAAUGGUUUUAAGUUGAGGGAGGGCAUAUUUAGGUUGGAUGUCAGGGAGCAGUUCUUUACUAUGAGAAUGGUAAGGUACUGGAACAGGCUGUGCAGAGAGGUUGUGGAUGCCCCAUCCCUGGAGGUGUUCAAGACCAAGUUGGAUGGGGCACUGGGCAGCCUGGUCAGGUAUUAAAUGUGGAAGUUGGUGGCCCUGCCUGUGGCAGGGGAGUUGGAGAUUCAUGAUCCUUGAGGUCCCUUUCAACCUGGGCCGUUCUGUGAUUCUGUGAAGAAAGCGUGGAGGAAGUAGGAACAAACAAAAUGUAGCUUAAAACCAAUUUAUCCCACCUACAAUUGUUUAAUACUUCACUUCUGGAGUUCUGUAUGUUUGUUUGUUUCUUGAUUUUUUGUUGUUGCUUCUGUAAAGAAUAUAUCUAAGUUAAACAUCACUGCAAAAACAACACAGCAGUAACUGCAGUGUUAUCUGUGUUCCCUCAGUGCACUAGGCAGAGGACUUUUAAUUUCAUACCUCAUUUACAACUUGCUGCACUGAUUCCACACAUUUCUUUAUCACAAGAAAAAAAAAAAGAAAAAAAAAAAAGAUUGCUAACAUUUUACCCCUGAUCUCAGAUUCUCUAGUUUUAGAUUUGCUGUUAGCUCUUUGCUUCACAAUCCACUACUGACUCUUCAGAAGGGCAGAAGGGCAC